GCCAGUGAUAAACUGGAGGAAGGUGGGGAUGACGUCAAGUCAUCAUGGCCCUUACGACCAGGGCUACACACGUGCUACAAUGGCGCAUACAAAGAGAAGCGACCUCGCGAGGGCAAGCGGACCUCAUAAAGUGCGUCGUAGUCCGGAUUGGAGUCUGCAACUCGACUCCAUGAAGUCGGAAUCGCUAGUAAUCGUGGAUCAGAAUGCCACGGUGAAUACGUUCCCGGGCCUU
rnacentral:rRNA from 1 species